rnacentral:lncRNA from 1 species
UUUGAUUUGCUUCACAUUAAAUCUUAUAUCCCAAAACCCAAAUCCUCAGCCAGAGGCAAUUGAAACUCCAUUUCUCUGCCACAAAAAGCUCCCCCGCCCCAACUCCCCUGGGAUCAACAGCACAAUUCUAAACCCAAAAACAUAAAAAAAUGGCAGCAAGUGUAGCAACAAUGGCGAUGCUCAAUGCAAAAUGCCUAAGCAUCAGCUCAACUAAGAUGAGCAGCCCAACAAAGCCAACCCCAAAGCCCUUCUCCCUUCUCUCCAUGCAGAACCUCCCCAAAGGCCUCACCAUCUCAAAACCAGCCAACAACUCAAACCUACCGUCUUCACUCGCUGGCAGCGCCAUUGCUGGAGCUAUCUUCUCAACCUUGAGCUCAUGUGACCCCGCCUUAGCUGCACAACAGAUUGCUGAAAUAGCUGAAGGAGACAACCGUGGGCUAGCUCUAUUGCUUCCCAUAAUCCCAGCGAUCGCUUGGGUCCUCUUCAACAUCCUCCAGC